UGGACUAUAUAAAGAGAGGCAUGGGACCCCCCCUAGGUCAUUCUCAACUCAACUCAAUUCAAUCCAACACGCAGCAAUACAAUCAGACACAGGACGUAGGUAUUACGCCCACACAGCGGCCGAACCUGGAUAAAACCCUUGUAUGUGUCUUGCAUCACCAUCAAGUUUGUAGCUUGCACACCUGUCUGCCGAUAAACUACUACCGUGGGUAUAUCCCAAGGUAGACUGCCGACUAGCUUUCGUCAACAGUGGCGCGCCAGGUAGGGGGUGUGCGUACAAAUUCCCAGACGAACAAGAUGGUCAUCAUCCCAGCCUCCGCUGCCGUGGCC
rnacentral:lncRNA from 1 species